rnacentral:rRNA from 1 species
CACGUAAGAUGCGAACGUUGUUCGGAAUCACUGGGCAUAAAGAACACGUAGGCGGCUUGGUAAGUCCAAAGUGAAAUCCCUCGGCUCAACCGAGGAAUUGCAUCGGAUACUGCUGAGCUCGAGUGCGGGAGGUGAGAGUGGAAUUCCAGGUGGAGCGGUGAAAUACGAAGAUAUCUGGAGGAACACCGGUGCCGAAAGCGACGCUCUGGACCGUAACUGACGCUGAGUUGCGAAAGCCAGGGGAGCAAACGGG